AUACGGAAGGUCCAGGCGUUAUCCGGAUUUAUUGGGUUUAAAGGGAGCGUAGGCCGUCUGUUAAGCGUGUUGUGAAAUGUAGAUGCUCAACAUCUGAGUUGCAGCGCGAACUGGCAGACUUGAGUGUGCGCAACGUAGGCGGAAUUCGUGGUGUAGCGGUGAAAUGCUUAGAUAUCACGAAGAACUCCGAUUGCGAAGGCAGCUUACGGGAGCACAACUGACGCUGAAGCUCGAAAGUGCGGGUAUCGAACAGGAUUAGAUACCCUGGUAGUCCGCACGGUAAACGAUGGAUGCCCGCUGUUGACCCACCUGGGCCAGCGGCCAAGCGAAAGCAUUAAGCAUCCCACCUGGGGAGUACGCUGGCAACGGUGAAACUCAAAGGAAUUGACGGGGCCCACACAAGCGGUGGAGUAUGUGGUUUAAUUCGAUGCAACGCGAAGAACCUUACCAGGGUUUGACAUCCUGAGAACCUCUUAGAAAUUUGAGGGUGCCUUCGGGAAUUCAGU
rnacentral:rRNA from 1 species